AGCGAACGCUGGCGGCAGGCUUAACACAUGCAAGUCGAACGGUCCUUCGGGAUAGUGGCGGACGGGUGAGUAACACGUGGGAACGUACCCUUAGGUUCGGAACAACACAGGGAAACUUGUGCUAAUACCGGAUAAGCCCUUCGGGGGAAAGAUUUAUCGCCUUUGGAGCGGCCCGCGUCUGAUUAGCUUGGUGGUGAGGUAAUGGCUCACCAAGGCUACGAUCAGUAGCUGGUCUGAGAGGAUGGCCAGCCACACUGGGACUGAGACACGGCCCAGACUCCUACGGGAGGCAGCAGUGGGGAAUCUUGCGCAAUGGGCGAAAGCCUGACGCAGCCAUGCCGCAUGGAUGAUGAAGGUCUUAGGAUUGUAAAAUCCUUUCACCGGGGACGAUAAUGACGGUACCCGGAGAAGAAGCCCCGGCUAACUUCGUGCCAGCCGCCGCCUAA
rnacentral:rRNA from 1 species